GCGUCGCUCACGCUGGGAGCUGUAGACCGGAGCUGUUCCUAUUUGGCCAUCUUGGCUCCUCCCCCGACAAUUUCUAGAAAAAGUCAUAAGAUCAGCAAGAAGAGAAACUGUAGAUUUGCCUCAACUCAACAUGUUAAGUAAUCGCCUGACAUCUACAUAAGACCACCUCUUGGCACCUGGCUACACAAGCUGAAAUGGUAAAACUCCUUGAGAAACCACACAAGGAUGGAAUACUUGCUUAGAGACAUGAGAGUAGCCUAGAAUCUAAGAAUCUGUACUUCCUUCUACAGUUGUCUUUGGAAAAAGAAUAGACAUUCAUGGCAGACCAAAGAUCACUCUCUGAAGGUGUUAUGUGAGAAAUCCACACAGGAGAAACCCAAGAAAACCACGCAGGUAAAUGCUAGCCUGGAAAGACAGAGGGAAAACAUGCCAAGUGGAGCCCACCACAAGGACAGCAGUCAGAGCCCAAGAGCCCAGCUUUAAAAGGUGAAUGGUUAAACAAAUUGUGGUACAUUCCUACAAUGAAAUACUACUCAGCAAUAAGAAGGAAUAGACUGUUGAUACGUUCAACAAGUUGGGUGAAUCUCAAAGACACUAUGCUGAGUAAAAGAAGCCAUCUCAAAAGGGCUGCAUACCAAAAGGAACAAAAGCACAAAACAAACAAACAAACAAACAAACAAGCAAAUGAUGGUGGAAACUAUUUUCAAAACUUCCCUGUUCUGGUAAAGACGUUUUCAGAGCUCAAACUAGUCCUGCUGAAAAUAUUUUUUAAAAUAUGAAAGCAUAGCGGAAAAUUUGUAUGAAAAAGAAAAAAGAAAAAGAAGGAGGAGGAAGAAGAAGAAGAAAGAAGAAAAAGGAGAGGAAGAAGAAGAAGGAGGAGGAGGAGAAGAAGAGGAGGAGGAGGAGGAGGAAAUGGCAGAGACAAUGUAUGUCCCAGAAAGCCUAAAAUGUGUACUGUUUGUCCGUUUAUAGAAAAAGUGUGCCAGUCCCUACUCUGUUCCCAAUUUUAAAAACAAAUAAAUAAAAAGAAAAACAAGCAAGUCUCUCAGCCAAGAAAGAAUCGAUGGGAACUUUUUCAACUUUAUAAAGUGGAUCUACAAAAAACUACAACUAACACUAACGUCACACCUAAUGGUGAAAGUCUGAAUGUUUUCCCUCUAAGACUAGGAAAAGGUGGCAUGGAUGUCCACUCUCCCUACUCUAUUCAGCAUUGUAUCAAAAGUUCUUAUCAGUGAAAUAAGACAAGAAAACAAUAAAUGGCAUCCAUAUUGGAAAAGAAGUAACACUGUCUUUAUUUGCAGAUGACAUUAUAAUCUAAAUAGAAAAUCUUAUGGAAUCUGCUAAAAAGCUAAUAGAACCAAUAAGCGAGUUUAGCAUAGUUACAAGACACAACAUAUAAAAAUUAAUUAUAUUUCAAAAUACUAGCAAUGAACAAUUAAAUUUUCCUUUUAAAAUUUUCAACAACAUCAAGACAUGAACCACUGGGGGAUAAACCCCAUGAAACAUGGCAGAAAAAAAUUCAGGAA
rnacentral:lncRNA from 1 species